rnacentral:rRNA from 1 species
AUAGCGUAUAUUAAAGUUGUUGCAGUUAAAAAGCUCGUAGUUGAAUUUCGGGAUUGACACAUCGGUCGUGCCUUAAGGGGUAUGAACUGGUGUAGUCAAUUUCUCACCUUCUGGAGAACCACGAUGCCCUUAAUUGGGUGUCGCGGGGAACCAGGACCUUUACUUUGAAAAAAUUAGAGUGUUUAAAGCAGGCAUUUUGCUUGAAUACAUUAGCAUGGAAUAAUAAAAUAGGACGGCAUGAUUCUAUUUUGUUGGUUUCUAGGAUCACCGUAAUGAUUAAUAGGGAUAGUUGGGGGCAUUAGUAUUCAAUUGUCAGAGGUGAAAUUCUUGGAUUUAUUGAAGACUAACUUCUG